GUGGGGAAUAUUGGACAAUGGGCGCAAGCCUGAUCCAGCCAUGCCGCGUGAGUGAUGAAGGCCUUAGGGUUGUAAAGCUCUUUCAGUGGGGACGAUAAUGACGGUACCCACAGAAGAAGCCCCGGCUAACUUCGUGCCAGCAGCCGCGGUAAUACGAAGGGGGCUAGCGUUGUUCGGAAUUACUGGGCGUAAAGCGCACGUAGGCGGACUGGAAAGUCAGGGGUGAAAUCCCGGGGCUCAACCCCGGAACUGCCUUUGAAACUCCCAGUCUUGAGGUCGAGAGAGGUGAGUGGAAUUCCGAGUGUAGAGGUGAAAUUCGUAGAUAUUCGGAGGAACACCAGUGGCGAAGGCGGCUCACUGGCUCGAUACUGACGCUGAGGUGCGAAAGCGUGGGGAGCAAACAGGAUUAGAUACCCGUGUAGUCC
rnacentral:rRNA from 1 species